rnacentral:rRNA from 1 species
GAUGAACGCUGACAGAAUGCUUAACACAUGCAAGUCAACUUGAAUUUGGGUUUUUAACUUCGGUUUGGGUGGCGGACGGGUGAGUAACGCGUAAAGAACUUGCCUCACAGCUAGGGACAACAUUUGGAAACGAAUGCUAAUACCUAAUAUUAUGAUAAUAGGGCAUCCUAUAUUUAUGAAAGCUAUAAGCGCUGUGAGAGAGCUUUGCGUCCCAUUAGCUAGUUGGAGAGGUAACGGCUCACCAAGGCGAUGAUGGGUAGCCGGCCGGAGAGGGUGAUCGGCCACAAGGGGACUGAGACACGGCCCUUACUCCUACGGGAGGCAGCAGUGGAGAAUAUUGGACAAUGGACCGAGAGUCUGAUCCAGCAAUUCGGUGUGCACGAUGAAGUUUUUCGGAAUGUAAAGUGCUUUCAGUUGGGAAGAAACAAAUGACGGUACCAACAGAAGAAGUGACGGCUAAAUACGUG